CGCGCCGCGUCCCUCGGUUCAAGAAAUCUGUGUUCGGGUCCGUUGAUUCCCCAAAAAAUUGUCCUUCAGCAUCCACGCUUAAUGCGGGGACGCUAAAAUCACUCGGCCUGAUCCGUCAACAUACGGCGGGCGACUUCUCGCCGGUGACUGACUGUGAAGAAAGCCUCGCUGCGCUGAGAUGAGCGGAGAUCGUGCGAUUCAGAAACUAUGUGGCGUUGUGGGCUUUUGUCUUGUGAUCACACCUGACCUUCAGCGGGAGCUGGAGACGUCCCCUGCUCCUUAAGUGGUAGAGACGACUUGAGCUGCAGAGAGCUUUUGCUUUUCUCACAGACUGUCUCUGCUGUCCAAGUGCUUUCCCAGAAUGCAGCGUGCUUUUUGAGAACAAUGCCGGGCUCGUUACUCCUAUCCUGUGUCCCAAAUGUUACCCAUGCCAGGCCGUCCAUCUGUCUGUCUUCUUUAACUGUGAUUGGUGUUAUUAUCUCAAAUUUGGCUCUGAAUAUCAGCAGGGCUUGUCAUCGUUGGACCUUUUGUUAACAAAGCAACGCUCCUGCCAAUCCUGGUCUGAUCUGGAGCUCAGGCUGCGUGGAGGUGAAUAGUCUACCUUUGUUGUUUCUGUACAAAGGCAUCACUCUAUCGGCACUUGAGAUCUGAGCUCUAGCAAAGGAAAGGUCAGCGCGGGGUUUACAUGACUGGUGUUUUACAGGAACGGUAACACAAGCCCUCCUUUAAAAGCUCUGGUUUUGAAACCGUUAAGAUGGGAAUGAGGUGAUUAGCGGUCAUAAUGGGUUUUGCACUCAAAGCUCUAAACCUUUUACCCCUUUUAAAAAUGUCUCGUGGAGAGUCUGAGGAGUCUUUGAGUACGAUUGAGGCGUGUGUGGACGCCGUGCUUCACAUUUGGGACCAAAUAAAAGGGGUGGAGCAAUCCAGGAAAUCAUCUAACGUUGUAACAAUAUAAGACACAAGAGAAAAAUCUCAUUUUAGGCAUAACAUGUUACCUUAUUUUCCUUAAGAAACCGAUGCAGGAUCUAAUGGAUCUUUAAGCGCUCAGCUUAUGUAAGAUGUUAUUUUUACCCAUCCACCUGAAUUACGUCUGUCAUUAAAGACUCGCCUCUCACCUCCAAGGUCGUGUGGGUUUGGAGUGCAGCAGUGAACACGAGAACACUCAGGGUAGCUCCAUGUCAUCCCCAGCUUUUGGCAAACGUCUUGGCCAAAAAGUGUUGCUCUGGAUGAAGUGGACAGAUAUGCAGGGGAUCUUUUGAACGCUGUGUCCACCUUAAAAGCCACAUUUGGUGCUGUAGAGGUAAUCAUCCCGGGUAGACCGUAUCCGGUGUUGUUUUUAAAAGAGUGCGAUCACACUGGAUGGUCCUUCUGACGAUAAAGUGGUUUUCAAUGUUUACGGAGAAAUUCAAAAUGUGUGAUCUCCGGUGUACUUUGGAAAAAGAAGAAGCUUGUCGGGUGGGAACGGAGUAAAAAAACAGACGUCUCCGAUCCCUGGACAGAAGAUAUUCAAAGAAUCUGUUGCGCAAAAGUAGACUGUUUUGUCAUUAGAGGACGUUCGCGUCCACGGCCUGAUGACGUGCUACAUUCAGAAUCAGACACAGCGCCUGUCCUCCGUCUACACUCGUUACCUCAGCUCUGUCUGCGCAGAUCAUCUACACCAACCUGGGCUUGGAUUUAGGGAUGGUGCAAUGUAUGCUGUGGGUAUCAGCACUAGGGAACUAUGGUCCUUGCGCGUCCAGACUGGGGAUCCCUUGACUUGUCCUCUUGCGCCACCAUCAUGGAACCCAACUCUUUCACACGCGUGGCAAAGGCCUCGACCACCUUGAUACUCAGACUAUCGACCCAACUAACCUCACUCCUCAUGCCAAACCCUAACUAACCCAACCACCAAAGGCUGGUGGGUCAUGCCCACCGUUGGGGGGGGGUCCGAUGAGUCGUUCUACUCGAUAAGUAGCCAUGUGCUCCAUGUUUGUUGGAGGGAAAGUGCGUAUUUUAGGAACAAUGGGUGUUUUGUUUCAGCACAACGUGCCAACCUUUUGGGUAAUGACGCGUAGCAACAACAGGAAGUUCCCCAACGGUUGACAUUUUUCUUCAUCACAAGCGGCAAAGGCAGCUAACAAAAACCCGUCUCGGAGCGUUUGUUCUACCUACCAAUGGGUACGUUUGAUCACCCAUUAAAUGGACGAAGGCAUGAAUAUCGAGAGAAGCAAAUCCUCGCGUGGCUGGGAAUUGGUUUUGUGUGGCCACUGGCCGCCGAAGGUGCUUGUUUAAACAGACCCAGACUGAAAGGCUUAACGACCACGCUGACAGCAGUCAUUCGAGAUGUCUAGAGGCUGCAGCGCUGUGGCCCCGAGAGCGAGAGAGCGGGCGGGCGAGAGUGAAAGGGGGUAGAUGUUGUGGUUUGCCGUGUCUUCAUUUACGCUCCAGAGAAAAGAGACGCACGAGAUUCGUUUUUAAAUGUGACUUAAAUAUUUGUUCUCCCACCAAACCUAAACCAACAGAAAGAAGGAUACACAGUGGACGCCCGCUGUGUUUUUCCCGCCACCUCAAACGUGUUCUGCCGUUUGCUCCAAUGUCAUCUCAAUUAAACAUAAGCACGAGGACGGAGAGCAGCGCGGACUUAAAAGUAGGUUCGUGUUUUUGGAAGGUAGUGGUGAGCUUGGAUUACAUCCUAAAUAUAAUUGCACAUAUAUUUUGGACUAACUUUUGCUGAUUUGAUUGAUUCCCACAAACCCAUGAGCUAUUUUCUCGUGCCUAACAUGUGCUGACCCGCGUCGGAUGAGCAUAUGAAGAGACAGAACCAAGUAUAGCCGUCCAUUUUCCAAAAAUAAAAGACAGUGCUGCAGUCAAAGGUUUGUAUUUUCACUACAUAUACCCCAAAGGUUCUUUAGCGUAAUAAUCACUGACCUGAUCUUUAGCUAUGCUAAUCCCCAGUCUCAGUCUCAGUCUGCAGGAGUUCACCUGUACAUGAAAUGUUGUACACAUUGACAUGUGGGGUUUAAUGGCUUAUCAGAGCUUUUGUCUCAUAAUGCACCAAAAGAAGGUUUAAACUAGAGAUUACCAUAGAAGAAGGGUUCAAGAAAGGCUUUGAAGGUGCACGAUGCAAGAUGUGGAGCGUUUCUCAGCGGCUCGUAACCAACAGUGUUAGCGGCGCCAGCUGCAGGGAAAGUGCUGACCGAAGCAACAGCGCGAACCCGCGUGGAACCUGAAGGGUCGGUUCCAAAUGAUAAUGCUCCGACUGUCGUAUAUUGCUCAAGGUCAGCAGCAGGUCUGCGGAAUUUCAGAAUGAGGCACGAUGGGAAAAAGAGCUUGAACAAAUGCAACAGAGAGAAUAGAAGAAAGCCCGAAAAGCCAAAUCCUGUUUGUCAUUGAGGGCGAGUGCUCCCAAUUUUGCAGAACCGUGGCUUCGCCCUCCACAUUCCAGCAUUAAACUGUUCCUUUUGGAAAUCUUUUUUGCUUUAUCUCAAAGUUCAAUGAAGUUUUUUUUUUCCCAGACUCAGCAGCCGUCCACAGUUCGUCCCCCCCGCUUUGUGAAAAAGGGCCGUCUUAUGAGAAGUUUAAUAUGACGUCUGGCUUCACUUUUCGGCAUGUGGUUAGUGCAGAGGAAGACACGGGUUGAUGCUUUAAGCAACAAGGAUGCAGUAUCACAUGUGGGAUGCACAUGAUGGAGCAGCGGGCCGCUGCUUUAGUCCGUAUUGCGCCACCAGACAGAAACACACUCAUCUGAACGAUCCAUCUGAAAGAGCUUACUUUCGCCAGACUGCAGGAAGUGACGGGAGAAAUAAGCUGUGUCAGCAGCUCAUUGCAACACCUCUCAAGUGUCUUAAUUUUGGCGAACAUAAAGCGUGCACGAGGCCGGCCAAGGGUCAACAUUAAGAAAGUAAACGCUCCAAACCCCAGUCGCUCCGUCCUGCGUGGAGGCCCGAUUCGCUCCUUUCAGCUGUGUGACGGAGAGCCCUCGCGUCUCACUCCCACUGUCCUCCAUGGCCUCGCCGUUUGACCCGCUGCCAACUUGGACGCGCUUCCUCCCAGUGAGCUUCACAUGCAGCCUUUCUGCAUAGCAACAGUUUGUGGACAGACACUCUGAGGAAUACACAUGAAAAAGAGCACAAACAGAUGGGCUGUGGAAGUGAAGUGAUUUGCAUUUUUCCAAACGAUUGAACCGCCCUUUUCUGCAUGUUGAUUCCGGAGAAUUUUAAUCAAAAAUGAAAGUUCCCGGAUCAAUGAUACUGGCACUAUGCCGUCCCCACUAGUGAGCAUCAACACGUGCAGAGCGAACAAUUGACUCUUUCACGAGGUGGCAGUUGCGAAAAUUCCAUCGAAUUGGUCCAACAAUAAAAAAUAAAAAAAACGUGCAAGUUGUCGGAUCCAGCUGAAGUGUUGCACAAAGACUGAGCCCUGAGAAGACAGGAACAAAGGAGCGGGACUGCAGAUGUCGAGGACUUGUUUGUAUUUGUCAGAAUUCAGAGGGAGAGAGCAAUAACUGAAGGCUUACGCAAGACCGGCCCUGCAGCGCCGCCUUCGUCGGCUCCUUUAUGAACUGAUCUCAGCGGACUUUCCACAGCAGGAUGUUUGAAGAGACAAGAAAAAGGAACCCUGAUUGAGACGAAAUGACCUCAGAAUCCAGAGACACUUUCUCCCCCCCGAGAGAGCUCUGAAGAAGGUUCCCACUUUGUAUAUUUGCGAGUUUCGAACUAAUGUCUUCCCUUUCUCACCUGAUCUGUGUGACGUGGAAUGUCCGACUCAGCAGUCACGGAAGUCAAGUGGGAGGAACGUUUACUCUGGCCGGUGUACAGACGCAUGGUGUCAUUCAGGCCACAUAUCAGCUUGUACUUAGAGGCAGAACCCGGACAUCAUUAGUAGAUACAUUCUGGUGUCAACUGUGUUUGGUCAUUAGUUCCACAGCCAUUCCCUCACCGGGACGACGCCGCCCUGCAGGAGGACGAUGAGGACGAUGAGACCUGCCUGUCCUUCGGCCAGUGGAAUGAGAAAACGAAGCACCUCGGUUUUUAAAAACAUUCAAUAAUGGAGUCCAGUCGUCCGUGAUCAAAAGCUCUGACGAAAAACAGAGACUUCCCUUUGGUGUUAUGAUGUGUUUCAGUGCCGUGCAAUAAGAUGAAGAAGGUUCCAACUCACGGGAUGCAUCUCCAAAAUAACCCAUCCGAGGUUGUCCACAUGCUCCUUUUCAGUGCAGCUGCCUCGUGGAUGAGCGCCUCCUGAGCGUGCAAGAGGCGCGAGCCUCACGCCGUGACGAGGGAGACCUUCCACUCUGCCGAUUCCAAUUAGAAAAGUCUGUCCUUAAAUACCCCCAAACACGUUCACUUUCUAGAUCGCUUUUAAAGUUUUUACAGCCAUUUGCAUCCCGCCGGGAAGUUUGAUAACUUUAAUAGUCUUUUUCUUUCUCCUGCCCUAAAUCUGACGUGUCUAAUAAUUUGGUUUAUGGUGCGAUACCUUUUAAAUCUUUAUAUGGUAUUCACGUCCAUACGAGGCGUAUAACUUUGAACGGUAUUGCAUCAUAAGCCAAAUUAUCAUUACCAAACAGAAUACCGUAACGCGUAGUAAGGAGGUGUUCAGUCAAUCGGUCCUUCAGACAGUUGCUCAUUUUAACCCUGAAGGUGGCCUCCCAAAGAGAAAAUGGCGCCGAACCUCGACGGCGCGUUCACCUUCGACUGCCACUGCGGGGAAAACAAACGCUUGAAAGGAGGCAGUAAAAAUAAAUUUGCAGCAUUAGUGCUUCGGGAGCCAGAACACACAAGGUUUGUUUGAACAAAAAGCCAUUAAACAAAACACGUAAAUCACCGUUGGCCUUAGGAACACAAGUUUAAUCGUUGGAGGCCUUUUCGCCUGCGGCGGACGCGUCCGUAGAAG
ensembl:lncRNA